GCAGUCGAACGAGGUAAAUGAGAUGAAGUUUUCGGAUGGAUUCUUAUUUACCGAGUGGCGGACGGGUGAGUAACGCGUGGGUAACCUGCCUCAUACAGGGGGAUAACGAUUGGAAACGAUUGCUAAUACCGCAUAAGCGCACAGUACCACAUGGUGCAGUGUGAAAAACUCCGGUGGUAUGAGAUGGACCCGCGUCUGAUUAGCUAGUUGGUGAGGUAACGGCCCACCAAGGCAACGAUCAGUAGCCGACCUGAGAGGGUGACCGGCCACAUUGGGACUGAGACACGGCCCAGACUCCUACGGGAGGCAGCAGUGGGGGAUAUUGCACAAUGGAGGAAACUCUGAUGCAGCGACGCCGCGUGAGUGAAGAAGUAUUUCGGUAUGUAAAGCUCUAUCAGCAGGGAAGAAAAUGACGGUACCUGACUAAGAAGCCCCGGCUAACUACGUGCCAGCAGCCGCGGUAAUACGUAGGGGGCAAGCGUUAUCCGGAUUUACUGGGUGUAAAGGGAGCGUAGACGGCGAUGCAAGUCUGAAGUGAAAUACCCGGGCUCAACCUGGGAACUGCUUUGGAAACUGUAUGGCUAGAGUGCUGGAGAGGUAAGC
rnacentral:rRNA from 1 species